UGGGGAAUAUUGGACAAUGGGCGCAAGCCUGAUCCAGCCAUGCCGCGUGAGUGAUGAAGGCCUUAGGGUUGUAAAGCUCUUUUAUCCGGGACGAUAAUGACGGUACCGGAAGAAUAAGCCCCGGCUAACUUCGUGCCAGCAGCCGCGGUAAUACGAAGGGGGCUAGCGUUGCUCGGAAUCACUGGGCGUAAAGGGCGCGUAGGCGGACAUUUAAGUCAGGGGUGAAAUCCCGGGGCUCAACCUCGGAAUUGCCUUUGAUACUGGGUGUCUCGAGACCGGAAGAGGUAAGUGGAACUGCGAGUGUAGAGGUGAAAUGCGUAGAUAUUCGCAAGAACACCAGUGGCGAAGGCGGCUUACUGGUCCGGUUCUGACGCUGAGGCGCGAAAGCGUGGGGAGCAAACA
rnacentral:rRNA from 1 species